GGGCGAGUGGCGGAAUUGGCAGACGCGCAGGAUUCAGGUUCCUGUGUCCUUCUAGGACUUGGGGGUUCAAGUCCCCCCUCGCCCA
rnacentral:tRNA from 2 species